GUUAGCAGCAGCAUUCCCAGUGACAUUGAUGGGGAUGGAGAGAGUCUCCUUUCCAGAGGAACCUUCAGCUGUGGCCUCUGAACAUUUCCUAGCCCUGGAAUUUCUCCCAGAACAAGGGAAUGCUGGAUGCAUCCUGGGCUCACCCUGCUGAGCGCUGCUGCCUCCAAACCAAGGCUUACAUAAAACUUCCAAGGAGAAUUAAUCCAUCCUCUGCUCUGAAGGACUUGUUUUGCUUCAGGAAAGAUGACAGCAUCACCCAGAAAUGUCCUCUGAGCUGGUCCCAGGGAUGAGCUGCUGGAAGGAAUCAAACAUUUACAGCUCCAGAGGGACAGAGAGGUUUGUGCAGGCUCCAUCACCUUUGGACUCCGAGUCUGUGGUUGCCAUGUGUGCACAUUUUCAACUUUCAGCAGAAUCACCAGAAUUUGAUAUAAUGCAGGAGGAGACACUUUAAAUAAGAUCCUUAAUUGAGGACCGUCCCUGUCAAGGCAAUGUGAAAACAGAUGCUAAGAUUUCUCUGCUUCUUGCUAAAAUCCUGAAUCAUGUCAUUUUAAUCAGGAAAUAUUUUUUUUCUUCCAAAGGAAAGAAAAAAAAAUUAAAAGACAACUUAUUUAGCUGAUUGACUGUGAAAAUAGGGAUAGAACUGAGUAAUAAAACUCGGUGCAAUCUUUCAAAUAUGAACCAAAUGUAUCAAAUAAGGACUUAUCUUUUCAGUAAUCUGAACCCUACAGUUUCUCUCUGGUAAUCUAGACAAUGUCAAAGGUAGCCAAGCUUGGUUUAGCUCAUUAAAGGCAUUUUCUAAAACUUGGCUGGACUGCAAAUGCCAUGUGCAGGCAGAUCAAGAUCUGACAGCCAAGACAAUGCCUUCUGCUUGGUUUUAGUCUGAUUAAACCUCUCUGUCCAUGUCUGUCACCCUGUGCCUGGUGUGAAUGACAUUAAAUAACCUGCAUUUUGUUAUGGUG